rnacentral:rRNA from 1 species
UAGGGAAUCUUCGGCAAUGGACGAAAGUCUGACCGAGCAACGCCGCGUGAGUGAAGAAGGUUUUCGGAUCGUAAAACUCUGUUGUUAGAGAAGAACAAGGGUGAGAGUAACUGUUCAAUGUGUGACGGUAUCUUACCAGAAAGGAACGGCUAAAUACGUGCUAG